rnacentral:miRNA from 1 species
CUUCCAGUAGCACCUUAGAAACCAACUAAGUUUGUUAUUGGUAUACAACUGAAGAAGUGUGCAUGCACACGAAAGCUCAAACCAAUAACAAACUUAGUUGGUCUCUAAGGUGCUACUGGAAG